rnacentral:rRNA from 1 species
CGCACGGGUGCGUAACGCGUAUGCAACCUACCUUUCACUGGGGCAUAGCCCGGGGAAACCCGGAUUAAUACCGCAUAAGAUAGUUGAGUGGCCUCACUUGACUCUUAAAUUUACGGAGGUGGAAGAUGGGCAUGCGUCCGAUUAGCUAGUUGGCGGGGUAGAAGCCCACCAAGGCCACGAUCGGUAGGGGACCUGAGAGGGCGAUCCCCCACACUGGUACUGAGAUACGGACCAG